AGAGUUUGAUCAUGGCUCAGAGCGAACGCUGGCGGCAGGCCUAACACAUGCAAGUCGAGCGCCGUAGCAAUACGGAGCGGCAGACGGGAGAGUAACACGUGGGAACGUACCCUUUGGUUCGGAACAACCCAGGGAAACUUGGGCUAAUACCGGAUAAGCCCUUACGGGGAAAGAUUUAUCGCCGAAGGAUCGGCCCGCGUCUGAUUAGCUUGUUGGUGAGGUAACGGCUCACCAAGGCGACGAUCAGUAGCUGGUCUGAGAGGAUGAUCAGCCUCACUGGGACUGAGACACGGCCCAGACCCCUACGGGAGGCAGCAGUGGGGAAUAUUGGACAAUGGGCGCAAGCCUGAUCCAGCCAUGCCGCGUGGGUGAUGAAGGCCCUAGGGUUGUAAAGCCCUUUCGGCGGGGAAGAUAAUGACGGUACCCGCAGAAGAAGCCCCGGCUAACUUCGUGCCAGCAGCCGCGGUAAUACGAAGGGGGCUAGCGUUGCUCGGAAUCACUGGGCGUAAAGCGCACGUAGGCGGCUUCUUAAGUCAGGGGUGAAAUCCUGGAGCUCAACUCCAGAACUGCCUUUGAUACUGAGAAGCUUGAGUCCGGGAGAGGUGAGUGGAACUGCGAGUGUAGAGGUGAAAUUCGUAGAUAUUCGCAAGAACACCAGUGGCGAAGGCGGCUCACUGGCCCGGUACUGACGCUGAGGUGCGAAAGCGUGGGGAGCAAACAGGAUUAGAUACCCUGGUAGUCCACGCCGUAAACGAUGGAUGCUAGCCGUUGGUGGGUUUACCCUUCAGUGGCGCAGCUAACGCAUUAAGCAUCCCGCCUGGGGAGUACGGUCGCAGAUUAAACUCAAAGGAAUUGACGGGGCCCGCACAGCGGUGGAGCAUGUGGUUCAAUUCGAAGCAACGCGCAGAACCUUACCAGCCUUUGACAUCCG
rnacentral:rRNA from 1 species